UGAAUACGAGACGCUAAGGCGUCGAGGUAGUGUAUAUCAGACUUCCAAGAAAAGCUUGCACUGUCAUAGAUAAAAAAUGCCUGUACCAUAACCGACACAGGUGGGUAGGUAGAGUAUACUAAGGGGCGCGAGAUAACUCUCUCUAAGGAACUCGGCAAAAUAACUCCGUAACUUCGGGAGAAGGAGUGCCUUAUUUAUAAGGUUGCAAUAACAAGAUCCAAGCAACUGUUUAUCAAAAACACAGGUCUCCGCUAAGUCGUAAGACGAUGUAUGGGGGCUGACGCCUGCCCAGUGCCAGAAGGUUAAAGAAGUUGGUUAGCAAUUGCGAAGCUGAUAACUGAAGCCCUGGUGAACGGCGGCCGUAACAAUAACGGUCCUAAGGUAGCGAAAUUCCUUGUCGGGUAAGUUCCGACCCGCACGAAAGGCGUAAUGAUUUGGAUACUGUCUCGGAGAGGGGCUCGGUGAAAUAGACUUGUCUGUGAAGAUGCGGACUACCUGCACCAGGACAGAAAGACCCUAUGAAGCUUUACUGUAACUUGAAAUUGAAAUUGGACUUUAUUCGCGCAGCAUAGGUGGGAGGCGUUGAUUAUAAUCUUGCGGGAUUAUUGGAGCCAUCAGUGAGAUACCACUCUUGUAAUGUUAGAUUUCUAACUUUGAAUCAUUAUCUGGUCAAAGAACAGUUUCAGGCGGGCAGUUUGACUGGGGCGGUCGCCUCCUAAAUGGUAACGGAGGCGUACAAAGGUUUCCUCUGAACGGUUAGAAAUCGUAUCUAGAGUGUAAAGGCAUAAGGAAGCUUGACUGUGAGACCUACAAGUCGAGCAGGGACGAAAGUCGGUCUUAGUGAUCUGACGGUACUGAGUGGAAAGGCCGUCACUCAACGGAUAAAAGUUACUCUAGGAUAACAGGCUGAUCUCCCCCAAGAGUUCACAUCGACGGGGAGGUUUGGCACCUCGAUGUCGGCUCAUCGCAUCCUGGGGCGGUAGUACGUCCCAAGGGUUGGGCUGUUCGCCCAUGAAAGCGGUACGCGAGCUGGGUUCAGAACGUCGUGAGACAGUUCGGUCCAUAUCCGGUGUAGGCGUUAGAAUAUUGAGAGGAGCCUUCUUUAGUACGAGAGGACCGAGAAGGACAUACCUCUGGUGUACCAGUUAUCGUGCCAACGGUAAACGCUGGGUAGCUAUGUAUGGAGUGGAUAACCGCUGAAAGCAUCUAAGUGGGAAGCCCACCUCAAGAUAAG
rnacentral:rRNA from 1 species